rnacentral:sRNA from 1 species
AGAGACAGCUGGGCCACUGGCAGUGAGGGAGAGUGAGGAUGGCAGAGACCAGUGCCCUGCCCACCGGCUUCGGGGAGCUCGAGGUGCUGGCUGUGGGGAUGGUGCUGCUGGUGGAAGCUCUCUCCGGUCUCAGCCUCAAUACCCUGACCAUCUUCUCUUUCUGCAAGACCCCGGAGCUGCGGACUCCCUGCCACCUACUGGUGCUGAGCUUGGCUCUUGCGGACAGUGGGAUCAGCCUGAAUGCCCUCGUUGCAGCCACAUCCAGCCUUCUCCGGCGCUGGCCCUACGGCUCGGACGGCUGCCAGGCUCACGGCUUCCAGGGCUUUGUGACAGCGUUGGCCAGCAUCUGCAGCAGUGCAGCCAUCGCAUGGGGGCGCUAUCACCACUACUGCACCCGUAGCCAGCUGGCCUGGAACUCAGCCAUCUCUCUGGUGCUCUUCGUGUGGCUGUCUUCUGCCUUCUGGGCAGCUCUGCCCCUUCUGGGUUGGGGUCACUAUGACUAUGAGCCACUGGGGACAUGCUGCACCCUGGACUACUCCAAGGGGGACAGAAACUUCACCAGCUUCCUCUUCACCAUGUCCUUCUUCAACUUUGCCAUACCCCUCUUCAUCACGAUCACGUCCUACAGUCUCAUGGAGCAGAAACUGGGGAAGAGUGGCCAUCUCCAGGUGCCCGCCCUCAUUGCCAAAAUGGUGCCCACGAUCAAUGCCAUCAACUAUGCCCUGGGCAAUGAGAUGGUCUGC